GUCUAUGGCCAUGCCACCCCGAACAAGCUCAAUUCCGUCUGAUCUCAGAAGCUAAACAGGGUGGGGCCUGGUUAGUACUUGGAUGAGAGACCACCUAGGAAGACCAGGUGCUGUAGGCA
rnacentral:rRNA from 1 species